AAAACAAGGAACACCCCAUUGCCUUGGGUUAAUAAUGCUUCUGUUGUCAAAUUCAUGUGUAACCACUACUGAGCAGGAUAAGGUUUCUUCUUGCAGGAAUUGCAAUUUACAAGCUCCUUCAUCCAGUGAGAUUAAUCCAAGUACUAAAUUCAACAUAAGUGG